rnacentral:tRNA from 1 species
AUGGCAUAGUCAGUAGAGUGUCUGGCUCGCGACCGGAGGACCGUGGGUUCGAAUCCCACU